AGCAGCAUGGCUCAGUGGAAAGAGCAUGGGCUUGUGAGUCAUGGGUCAUGGGUUCAAAUCCCGGUUCAGCCG
rnacentral:tRNA from 1 species